UUUUCUAUUAAUAGAUGAGGAGACUUGUGGCCUGCAGAUGACAGGAAGAGAGGCCUGUCAUGAGGAAUGCCUUUGUUAUUUUCCAUCCAGGGAGGAAAUGAAUUUCUUGUGAUUUUUUUCAGAAACUCUGCCCGCGGGCGGCAAGCAGAGACAGGAGAGUCCGUUGAUGAUGUGAUGAUGAGCGCUUUUUCCCCUCAAAGAGGCUGGACGAGGUUCUUUUUAAAGGAGGGUUUUUUGGGUAGAGUGAGCGAGCUUCAGUGUGGGAGGCCUCUUCACCACGUCCAAGAACGCAUUGUGUCGUCAUUUGAAGUCGCUGUUGGAGGGCGAUGAAGAACUCCCAUCGGCUCGCUUUGAACGCGUCCCUCGAUGCAACAACUUCUCCGUGGUGGAAGCCAUCUUUGAAGCGUGCCGCCAAAAAGCCUGAAUGUAUGUUGGCGUUGGGCUGCAGUGGAAGCUAAAAAAGAAGACGCGAGACGGAGUUUGGACGUCAGCCAAAGGGAGGGUCGGUCCACGUUUGUACCAAGAUGUUUGCCUGCUCGCCGGGAAACCGGGGAGGCUGUCGGCGGCGGUGGCAGGCGGCGGCCACAGCGGCCAUAUGUGGAGGCAAAACAAACACUAUUUCAAAUAUACCUUACGCCUUUUCUCGACUUCAAGGCGUAUCCGCGGAGGAGAGCGCGGCCCCUGCCCCGGUGAUCCGGCACACACAUGCCAGAACAAAGGGAGUCCCCCCAUAUUCGAUUCCCUCUCUGAAUAUGUAAAACACAGCAGCAGCAGAGGAAGCAGCAGAGAAGUCAGCGCUGAGAAAUUACCAGAACUAUCUGGGCCAUUGACAGGCCUCCCCUGUGGUCAAAUGGGCUGAGGUUGUGUUUGGUGAGCUCUCCAUAGAUAACCAGCAGGGAGGAGCGAGCUUCGCCAAUCGGGCGUGGGGAAUUCGGACGAUUGUUACCCUUAAAGGCUUUUAUUAUGUUAAAGGAGUAGUAUGAGUAUUUUACAGCCUUAAAAUGACUCAUUUUACCCACUUGAAAGAUGCUUCACCUACUCAGAUUUCAAGCUUUACAAACUCCUGAAACCUUGGAAAGACUUCCAACCGCCAACAUUAAUAUCCAGGUGUCUUUCUGUUGUGACUUCUUCUUUCCAUUGACGAUUAAUGUGUCAGCUGUUUUCUCAGUUAAUAACUUAGAUGUCAUUCACAUUCAAAUGGCCAUUGCAAUUUUGCAACUAAUUUUUCCUUUUUUUUUAUUUUUUAUGUAUUUUUGCAACAUUUCACUCAAGGUUGCAAAGGUUAGUACAUCUACCAAAGAAGUCACAUUUCAAGUAAACAGUUGGUGGUUCUUGUUCUUUAAAAUGUGACAAAAUGCUGCUUUGAAAUUAUAAUGUACAUUUCUUUACUUUUCUAGAGUGUUUCCUACACAACACUGGGAAGUCCUGACCAGCCAUAAAGGGUCAGUUGACCUAAAUUCUGACUGUUUAUGAUAAACAACACAAUCUGUUGCCAGGAAGGUCUGGGGCUUAUCCACCCAAUGUCGCAGAGCCUUCACUCAUAAUUUUAUUUUUUUUAAAUUCUGAAACAACAUACAUAUCUAAACAUGAAAACCAAAUUUCACACUUCUGUAUUCUGCAUAAGAACCUUGAGAUAUACUGGUUUGCUAUAUUUGAUUUGAUGUUGCUGUGAUGAUGUUAGAACUGAUCUUUUCAUGACUACAAAUACAUUAUUAGGAGAAAUAUUCUGAUUGGUGUCUGUAAGAAUCUAAGUCAGAUCCUUCGUUUAAAUCUGACUUGAUGUAAAUUUUAGUAAUUUACUUAAUAUGUGAGGCUAUAGCAAUUAGAAAUUAAAGGAACAAAAAGAGUCACUUUCUAUACGAUCAUACAAUGAUUUUGAUCUUGUCUGUAUCGUUGACUACCAUUAAGCCUCAUAGAAGAUUGUGUCAUGGUGCCCCUUUGCUCACUAAACCCCCCCACAAUGCUCUGGAAAUGUUCGCCUUCUAACUGGUUGGUAUUAGUGAAAACCUAAGCCCCAUCCUUUGUUUACGUCUGACCUGUUGUAAAUUUAAGUAAUUUACCUAACAUGUGGGCCUACAUCAAUUAGUAAUAAUUUAUUUAUUUUUUUAUUGGUCAUAUACUGAUUUUGACCUUGUCUGUAUUGUUGACUACCAUUAAGCCUCAUAGAAGACUUUGUCAUGGUGCCCCUUUGCUAGCUAAACCUCCCCACAAUGCUCUGGAAACAGUAAGAGCCUCCACCUGGUGGUAAAAUCAGACACAGCUCAUCUGCAACACUUGAAAUGUGAAAUAUGUAGAAAAAUGGUAUUUGGUGUCAGGCGAUACAACAUUUUUAAAAGACUCAGAUUUGACUGGGGCAAAAACAUCCCUAAUUAUUAGAAGCUUGGCUCCUAAAGGAUUCUCAAAAUCUUAACCUAUCUGUAUGACUUGUUUUGGGUGAACUAGCACUUAGUUUUCCAUCAUAGGCUAAAUAUGAUAAAGUUUUUCUCUAUUUUUUCUUUUAAAUGCUUCACAUUUAGAAGUUACCUUCUGCUUUACCAGAAAAAUGAAACUAUCUCUUUAAAUAAUGGUGCUGAAAGAACAAGACGUACAGUCACUGGGUAAAAUGAGACAUUAUAUUCAGCUGAAUGUAUGUCAGAAGGUUUCGAUAAUUCGUCCCUUUUAGGUGAUGAUAUUUUGAACCAUUUGUGAUUCCCCUGACCCGUUGGCACUCACACGGCCCUUCUUGGCCCGACACCGGCGUCGGGGGAGAUCCUGAUUCACAGAAGCCAUGGCUGCUCCUCAAACCCACCGGCAGAUGCUCCCUCUCUCCAGCCUCGCCAGCCGGCAACAUGCCUCCUCUGACAUGCCUGUGUGUCUGUCUGCCCGACUCAGUCUGUCCAUUCGUCCGUCCAUCUGUCCGUCAAGCAGCAGAAGCCCGAAGCCUCGGUCAUAAAAAUGCACGCUGGUAUUUAAAGCGGCGGCGAGGCAUUUGUGGUCGUACAGAACGUACAGGAUCCUAGAAGUAAUGUCUAAAAUUGGUGGGGAAAUGGUUCAUGGACGGCAAUAUGUUCCCAUGAAUCAUUUAUUGGGUGACGUGUUCCAGUGCCCACGUUGGCUGAUGAAUGAUUGAUGGCAACAUGUUGCUGUUCAGAGCCCUUUCACUGUUUGAGUAUUUUUAGACGACAAGAUGAAAGUUUAGGUCAAAUAGGAGCCUCUGUAGGUCAAUGAAUUUGAAAGCUGCCCUCAUUCUUGUAGUGUAUAUGAAUGGGCAACACAAACUACACAUGACUUUGCAGUUCUACGGAGCGUUUUUGCAACCUUUAGCUCAUUGCUUUGGUCACCUGGUCUACAACUUCGCUGUUUUCAGUUUCAACAGAGUCUCAAGCUCAGAUGAAACCACUGUGAUAAAAGUGUAACUGUUAAGCAAAUUUGAGAAAUGGUCCAACUUUUCCAACUAUUAAUAAACUUUCCAAAACUUCAUUUCCGCAGCACCUUUUAAAAUUGGACUUACAAGGUGCUUUAUAAACAUUAAAAUACACAAAGCAAUGAUAAGCUGUGUAGCUUUGCCAGAAGGUGGCAGCAAUGGCUUCAUUACACAUGCAGAAGAAGAUGGAAACAAAACUACAAAAUCAUGAAGAAAAGGAAGAAGCAAAUAAGAGUUUUGUUUAUCAGUCAUACAAUACAAUACAAUACAUCCUAUCUCGAGGUAGCAUAAAAAAAUGUAAAAACUCUGGCAAAAUUGCUGAAGUUUUUUCAAAUUUUGUUGUUUCCAUUAACUGUUUGUAUUGCAGCACUUUUGCAUGAACGUGCUAAAAAAAUAAGUUACAGAAACGUGGUCAAACAUAAAUUUGAAGUGAAUGGAAAACAACGAUGUGAAAAUUCAGUAACAUGUCGAAAAAGUCAGAAACAACCUGAAGUGAGCAUAAAAACUUUUUUGCAAAAUGAAGGAUGUUUCUUGUUAUUUUUUUUUUUUAAAUCUGCAGUUUCUAUUUUUUUUCUAUCAGAAUAGUUUGAAAAGUGCAUAAAGUAUGUUACAGAAGCUAAUGCUAGCGGCUAGCUGGUGCAAAAAUAGAACUAAAACUGGAAUUAAAGUAGCUAGUUUUAUUUAAUAUAUGGUAAUUUAUUGGAAGUUAAGGUAAUCAUUUAUUGUCUUGAACAUACUCUCCAUGACUUUUGUUUUUUUCUUACUGUGAAUUCUUUGAUUUACACUGUCCAACUCAUUAUGUCAUGCUCUGAGACAUUAUUAAAAAAACAAUACUAUAUAUAAGAACCAGAAAGUGUUUGGUAAAGACUUUUAAAUGUGCUGUAUGAUUAAAUACAUUGACUUUAAGUUGGUACAGACAGUAUUUCUUAACAUCCCUUUAUAUUAUUGUUGCAUCUACAAAUUACCUUUUUCAGGUAAUUCUCACACUAUCUUGUAAAAUAAAUACAAAAAUCUUUCUGUAUGUCCAGCAGACCUAGAAUAAGCCACUGAAGAUGUAGAAGAUAACAUAACAGUUGUCAUACUAUUAGUUUCAGGACAUCUGGUCUUAUCUAUAUUGUAGAAAACAUUGUAAAAUAAUGAAUUUAAAGUUUGUCAAUCUUCUGCAUCUUGAUCUCUCAUUAGCAUCCUUAAAAUGCCUCAUUAUGCUAAAGUCCUUCAACAUAAGGGAUUUUAGUGGUCCAGACCAACGACUGCUCAGCUCAGCAUUUAUAAAUAUUGUCACAGAUUUUUACAAAUGGGAAACUUUCUCCACAACACACACUUGUUAAUGAAUAAAUCAUACCGUUAAUGGCUGGAA